CACGCAGGCGGCCAACCAAGUCUGACGUGAAAGCUCCUGGCUUAACUGGGAGAGGUCGUUGGAAACUGAUUGGCUUGAGGCAAUGAGAGGGGUACGGAAUUCCAGGUGUAGUGGUGGAAUGCGUAGAUAUCUGGAGGAACAUCAGUGGCGAAAGCGGUACCCUGGCAUUGACCUGACGCUCAUGUGCGAAAGCGUGGGGAGUGAACG
rnacentral:rRNA from 1 species